CAAGUAGCUGGUACACAAGAAAGGCUUGGCUAGCUGGAUGCAAACAGGAAAAGCACCCCGGUGCAGAGGGAACAGCAGGACACCUCUUCCCUACAGUGCAAUGACACAUCUCUCCACACAUGGAUGUGUCUGCGGAGGAGUUCUGGUCACCACUGCAGCUGCAAACAUUUUCAGGAUUAAAUUCAAUCAUGCGGUCUGCCAACCCUCAUCAGGGGUAGCAUGUAACCUUUGUUUUUUUUACACCUUGCAGUCAUACUCAGUGUUAUGUUUCUUUGUACUGCUCCUUCAGUUUUCUUUCUUGUGAACCUGCAUCUGGGUUAAGGGCAACUUCUUCCACGCCAUCAGCUUUUGUGAAAGCAGCAGUGGCCUUCAGGUCACAUGAGGAUUUAACUGCCAGGAACAAGGAACAAGCCUGACUGUGCGGCUACAGCGUUAUUGCUGAAAUAAAGUGGUGUGACCUCUGAUGGUUUUCAAAAAAGCAA